ACUUGUCGCGCUGGAAGCUGCGGCUGGAGUCCUGCGCCGCGCGGCCCUCCAGCGUCCAGAACACGCCGGUGCCCAGCGCCAGAACGGGAAGUAAGAAGACAAGUACACCGAGCCUAUGAUGGUCAUGUGUUCCUGUCACUCUGGACUUGUGGUUCCCAGCUCUGCUACACAACGGAAAUCUCUGGAGAAUCUCUAGACAUCCUGGUGCCCAGACCACAGCCCAGAACCAUUCAGUCAGGAUCACUGGGACAAGGAAACUGAGAAUGAGACAAGAUCACAGCAGAGGUGGGGCUGUCUCAGGCUUAAGAAAG
rnacentral:lncRNA from 1 species